UACGAAGGGGGCUAGCGUUGCUCGGAAUCACUGGGCGUAAAGGGUGCGUAGGCGGGUCUUUAAGUCAGGGGUGAAAUCCUGGAGCUCAACUCCAGAACUGCCUUUGAUACUGAAGAUCUUGAGUUCGGGAGAGGUGAGUGGAACUGCGAGUGUAGAGGUGAAAUUCGUAGAUAUUCGCAAGAACACCAGUGGCGAAGGCGGUUCACUGGCCGAUACUGACGCUGAGGCACGAAAGCGUGGG
rnacentral:rRNA from 1 species